rnacentral:lncRNA from 1 species
GAGAAUCACUUCACCGCCGGAGAUGCCGUCCGCGACAUCAUCAUUGGUGUCUCUGACGGCCUCACCGUCCCCUUCGCACUCGCUGCCGGCUUGUCCGGCGCCAACGCCCCUUCCUCCAUCGUCCUCACCGCCCGCCUCGCCGAAGUUGCCGCCCGCGCCAUGAAGUUGCCGCCGGCGCCAUCUCCAUGGGCCUCGGAGGGUGAGUACACACAGAGCACCGAUAUCAAAAUUUUGAAAAUUUGUACCAAUCGAUUGAUCCCGAUCGUGGAUUAUUUACGCGAUCCAGAUUCUGAAUGGCGGGAAUAGAAUU